AUCCGGCUGACGAGUCCCGAAUAGGACGAAGUGCGCAUCUCAAAU
rfam:Schistosoma rodhaini strain Burundi genome assembly, scaffold: SROB_scaffold0009599